UUCAGCAUCACCCUGGGCCUUGGGAGCCAGGACUUGUUUAGCUUCAGAAUUGUUGAUUAAAGGGAAUUUAGUGCCCUUCAUGUUGGGAAAGCAGAGGGAAUGGCUAAAGGCAAGAUGGGAAGUCCAAGAGACACUUGUUUGGCCCUUUGUAGCCAGGCGGGCUUGUGCAGUUGAAGGGGCUGAGGUGACAGAAUGAGACCAUGAAGAGGAAGCCUAUCAGGACCAGCCCACCAACGGAGUGAAGACAAGGAGACUUCACAGUAUGAUGAUUAGAUACGCCCUGGGAGCUCCCAAUUCCUUCAGAGAAGUGGAAAGAUUUGCUCUUAAGACUCUUUAGAGGAUGGUCCUGGCCUAGAAAGAGGUAUCUACUACGGCUCUUUGCUCUUCUCUUCUGGUGAAGGAAGAAGUCUGUACUAAAUUCUGAACAAGGCUGGAUUUGCAUUUUCUUUGCAUAUUACCAAAAAACUUUGCCAGAGCUUGAAUAGUUAUUGUCUCUGGGGCUGACAUGCCCAUCACCCAGAGCUUGACUCUACAGUAGGACUGUACUGUAGGGAAGAAGUGACUCAAAUGGAACUAAGUUGGAACCAAGAAGAGACCCGAUGGACCGCUCUGCUCUGGACAACCUGUUCCAUGUGUGAUGAGUGGCUGGUAGCACCAGCCUUGCCACAUAGAACUAUCCCCAGAAUGGACCCCAGGGAGCAUACCUCUCCUCCAGGGCUCCAGGUUCUCCUCCUACAGAGAAGAAAACUCUGGGUCCCAGGCAUUUCCCUCUAUCACCUUCUCCUCUGGCUGCCAAGAGAAAAUUGAGUGCUAACUACACACCUAUUUGGCCAAGCUCAUAGUGACUAUUUAAGCAGGCACCAUACUGACAAGGAAAACCCAGCUGAAAGAUAUAAAACUAUCUGCCCUAAUGCUGCAUAUUGGUUGAUUGUCAGAGUCUUGCAGUUAAUAAAAUGAGAAUCCUGCACAUGA